ACUCUUACUAAAGCCGAACAUCUUCAAGGCUGUUAUACGCAACCGAAGACAGGAAGUUCAACCACGAAAGUGGCUUUAUCUAAUCUGAACCCACGAAAGCUAAGAAACAAACUGGGAUUAGAUACCCCACUAUGCCUAGCCCUAAACAUUGAUAGUACUAUACACCCACUAUCCGCCCGGGAACUACGAGCAAUAGCUUAAAACCCAAAGGACUUGGCGGUGCUUUAGAUCCACCUAGAGGAGCCUGUUCUAGAACCGAUAACCCCCGUUCAACCUCACCCUUCCUUGUUUAUCCCGCCUAUAUACCGCCGUCGUCAGCUUACCCUGUGAGGGACUAAUAGUAAGCAAAACUGGUACAACCUAAAACGUCAGGUCGAGGUGUAGCGUAUGGAGGGGGAAGAAAUGGGCUACAUUCGCUACUACAGCGAACACGAAUAGUGUACUGAAACAUACACUUGAAGGAGGAUUUAGCAGUAAGCAGGAAAUAGAGCGUCCCGCUGAAACUGGCCCUGAAGCGCGCACACACCGCCCGUCACUCUCCCCAAAAGCCCCAGCCAGUUAAUUAAAACCUAAUAAUCAAAGAGGGGAGGCAAGUCGUAA
rnacentral:rRNA from 1 species